rnacentral:tRNA from 3 species
GCUCCCGUAGCUCAGUAGGAUAGAGCGGCCCCCUCCUAAGGGGCAGACCACAGGUUCGACUCCUGUCGGGAGCGCCA